rnacentral:rRNA from 1 species
GGGGAAUAUUGCACAAUGGACGAAAGUCUGACGGAGCAACGCCGCGUGAGUGAAGAAGGCCUUCGGGUCGUAAAGCUCUGUUGCCGGGGAAGAACAAGUGCCGUUCGAACAGGGCGGUGCCUUGACGGUACCCGGCCAGAAAGCCACGGCUAACUACGUGCCAGCAGCCGCGGUAAUACGUAGGUGGCAAGCGUUGUCCGGAAUUAUUGGGCGUAAAGCGCGCGCAGGCAGCUUCUUAAGUCUGAUGUGAAAGCUUGCGGCUCAACCGCAAGCGGUCAUUGGAAACUGGGAGGCUUGAGUGCAGAAGAGGAGAGUGGAAUUCCACGUGUAGCGGUGAAAUGCGUAGAGAUGUGGAGGAACACCAGUGGCGAAGGCGGCUCUCUGGUCUGUAACUGACGCUGAGGCGCGAAAGCGUGGGGAGCAAAC